rnacentral:rRNA from 1 species
AUUGAACGCUGGCGGCAGGCCUAACACAUGCAAGUCGAGCGGAGCGGCGGACGGGUGAGUACUGCCUAGGAAUCUGCCUGGUCGUGGGGGAUAACGUCCGGAAACGGGCGCUAAUACCGCAUACUCUCAGAUGAGCCUAGGUCGGAUUAGCUAGUUGGUGGGGUAAAGGCCUACCAAGGCGACGAUCCAUAACUGGUCUGCGAGGAUGAUCAGUCACAUGGGAAUGGAGACACGGUCCAGGAUCCUACGGGAGGCGGCAGUGGGGAAUAUUGGACAAUGGGCGAAAGGCUGACCCAGCCAGGGGGCGUGUGUGAAGAAGGUCUUCGGAUUGUAAAGAACUUUAAGGUGGGGGGCGUUACCUACAUAAUAAGCACCGGCUAACUUCGUGCCAGCCGCCGCGGUAAUAC